GCGAAUGGAUUAAGAGCUUGCUCUUAUGAAGUUAGCGGCGGACGGGUGAGUAACACGUGGGUAACCUGCCCAUAAGACUGGGAUAACUCCGGGAAACCGGGGCUAAUACCGGAUAAUAUUUUGAACUGCAUGGUUCGAAAUUGAAAGGCGGCUUCGGCUGUCACUUAUGGAUGGACCCGCGUCGCAUUAGCUAGUUGGUGAGGUAACGGCUCACCAAGGCAACGAUGCGUAGCCGACCUGAGAGGGUGAUCGGCCACACUGGGACUGAGACACGGCCCAGACUCCUACGGGAGGCAGCAGUAGGGAAUCUUCCGCAAUGGACGAAAGUCUGACGGAGCAACGCCGCGUGAGUGAUGAAGGCUUUCGGGUCGUAAAACUCUGUUGUUAGGGAAGAACAAGUGCUAGUUGAAUAAGCUGGCACCUUGACGGUACCUAACCAGAAAGCCACGGCUAACUACGUGCCAGCAGCCGCGGUAAUACGUAGGUGGCAAGCGUUAUCCGGAAUUAUUGGGCGUAAAGCGCGCGCAGGUGGUUUCUUAAGUCUGAUGUGAAAGCCCACGGCUCAACCGUGGAGGGUCAUUGGAAACUGGGAGACUUGAGUGCAGAAGAGGAAAGUGGAAUUCCAUGUGUAGCGGUGAAAUGCGUAGAGAUAUGGAGGAACACCAGUGGCGAAGGCGACUUUCUGGUCUGUAACUGACACUGAGGCGCGAAAGCGUGGGGAGCAAACAGGAUUAGAUACCCUG
rnacentral:rRNA from 1 species